GCAAGUCGAGCGUGAAAUUUCCUUCGGGGAAGAGUAAAGCGGCGGACGGGUGAGUAACGCGUAGGAAUCUGCCCAAAAGUGGGGGAUAACUUGGGGAAACCCAAGCUAAUACCGCAUAUACCUAAGGGUGAAAGGUGGGGAUCUUCGGACCUACCGCUUUUGGAGGAGCCUGCGUCGGAUUAGCUAGUUGGUGGGGUAAAGGCCUACCAAGACGAUGAUGCAUAGCCGACCUGAGAGGGUGAUC
rnacentral:rRNA from 1 species